GGGGGCGCACCGGUUUCGACUGGGAUCACAACCCUUCUGUGGCAUGUCGCGGAGGUCCGUUGGCCGCGUUAACAAUCGGGCAAAAUCAUAACUGCGAACAACGAAUUCGCUCUUGCUGCCUAAUUAAAGGCAACGACGCUUCCCAUCCCUUCCGCCUGCGGGGGAUCUGAAGCGAGGUUAGCAGGCUGGCCGAUUUUCCGCCCGUCGGGAA
rnacentral:tmRNA from 1 species